rnacentral:rRNA from 1 species
GAUGCAACGCGAAGAACCUUACCUACUCUUGACAUCCAGAGAAGCCAGCGGAGACGCAGGUGUGCCUUCGGGAGCUCUGAGACAGGUGCUGCAUGGCUGUCGUCAGCUCGUGUUGUGAAAUGUUGGGUUAAGUCCCGCAACGAGCGCAACCCUUAUCCUUGUUUGCCAGCGAGUAAUGUCGGGAACUCCAGGGAGACUGCCGGUGAUAAACCGGAGGAAGGUGGGGACGACGUCAAGUCAUCAUGGCCCUUACGAGUAGGGCUACACACGUGCUACAAUGGCGCAUACAGAGGGCAGCAAGCUAGCGAUAGUGAGCGAAUCCCAAAAAGUGCGUCGUAGUCCGGAUUGGAGUCUGCAACUCGACUCCAUGAAGUCGGAAUCG